UACGAAGGGGGCUAGCGUUGCUCGGAAUCACUGGGCGUAAAGCGCACGUAGGCGGCUUUCUAAGUCAGGGGUGAAAUCCUGGAGCUCAACUCCAGAACUGCCUUUGAUACUGGAGAGCUUGAGUCCGGAAGAGGUGAGUGGAACUCCGAGUGUAGAGGUGAAAUUCGUAGAUAUUCGGAAGAACACCAGUGGCGAAGGCGGCUCACUGGUCCGGUACUGACGCUGAGAUGCGAAAGCGUGGGGAGCAAACAGG
rnacentral:rRNA from 1 species